AACGAACGCUGGCGGCAGGCCUAACACAUGCAAGUCGAGCGAAGCCUUCGGGCUUAGCGGCGGACGGGUGAGUAACGCGUGGGAACGUGCCCUUUGGUACGGAAUAGCCCCGGGAAACUGGGAGUAAUACCGUAUGUGGUCGAGAGACGAAAGAUUUAUCGCCAAAGGAUCGGCCCGCGUUGGAUUAGGUAGUUGGUGGGGUAAUGGCCUACCAAGCCGACGAUCCAUAGCUGGUUUGAGAGGAUGAUCAGCCACACUGGGACUGAGACACGGCCUAGACUCCUACGGGAGGCAGCAGUGGGGAAUCUUAGACAAUGGGGGAAACCCUGAUCUAGCCAUGCCGCGUGAUCGAUGAAGGCCUUAGGGUUGUAAAGAUCUUUCAGUGGGGAAGAUAAAGACUGUACCCACAGAAGAAGCCCCGGCUAACUCCGUGCCAGCCGCCGCAGUAAUAC
rnacentral:rRNA from 1 species